UUCUGGAAUUAAGUUUACUGUCUAUAUUCAGGAUUUUGUGCAUAAGAGACGUGACCACUGAGGUUGUGUGUCAUUCUUAUCUCUACUCCAGGGGUCAGCAAACUUUCUCUGUUAAGGGUCAGAUAGUAGUUUUUUGGCUUUUCAGUCUCUGUUUGGCUCUGCUAUAAACAAUACAUAAAUGAAUGAGCAUGGCUAUGUUCCAAUAAAACUUAAUUGACACUGAACUUUGAAUUUCAUGUACUUUUCAAAUGUCACAAAUGUUUUCCUUUUGAUUUUUUUCAGAAAGCCAUUAAAAAAAUCCAAAGACCAUUCUUAGCUUGCAGGCUGCACAAAAACAGGAAGCAGGCGGGGUUUGCUUAUGGACUGUGGCUUUCCCACCCUUGUUCUUAGAUAGGGACACACCAAUAUAUCAUGAUUAGUUGUAAAGGAUACUGCCAGUAACAUAUUAUUACUGGUUAGUUGUAAGAAUAUCAAAGUUAGUGAAUAAUUUGCUUUUAAAAUAAAUUAUUGUUGAUUUAUUUUUAUAAAUAAAUGGCACAGGGCAUCUCAUGCUCUUGCAUUCUAAUAUAUUUUCUGGAAUUGAUGCAAAAGUGGUGGCAGUAAAGUACAGAGCCGGCUAAGCAGCAGUUUUGUCUUAAGUAACUGUGGUGAUCAUGGACAACCAUUGCGCUGAACUGCUCUUCAUGGUAAGGAUUUCAGUGUUUCAGAGUAAUUCAUUAACCUAGAGAUGUUUUAAAAAGUUGUAUCGGCCGGGCGCGGUGGCUCAAGCCUGUAAUCCCAGCACUUCGGGAGGCCGAGGUGGGCGGAUCACGAGAUCAGGAGAUCGAGACCAUCCUGGCUGACACGGUGAAACCCCAUCUCUACUAAAAAUACAAAAAAAAUUAGCUGGGCGUGGUGGCGGGAGCCUGUAGUCCCAGCUACUCAGGAGGCUGAGGCAAGAGAAUGGCGUGAACCCGGGAGGUGGAGCUUUCAAUGAGCCGAGAUUGCCCCUCUGCACUCCAGCCUGGGUAACAGAGCAAGACUCCGUCUAAAAAAUAAAUAAAUAAAAUAAAAUAAAAUAAAAUAAAAGUUGUAUCAAAAUCUGCUGCACCAUGGGAGUGUUUUACACAUGUGAUGUGGCAUCUACCUUAUGUACCAUAAUGGAAAAAUGUUUGAGAACCACUGCACUAGGCCAAAGGCUGGGAUGUGUAUACUUUGCUGCCGUGUAUAAUUGUAUGUCCUUGUUCUCUAAACGGAAUUGGUUAUGUUUAGUGAACAGUUAGGUGGUUCUCCAUGUGUUUAUAUACACAGACGAUCCCCGAAUUUGGAUGGUUCAACUUAAGAGUUUUCAAACUUACGAUGAUAUGAAAGUGAUAUACAUUUGAUACAUUCCUACAACUUACAAUGGGGUUAUGUCCCAUAAUUGUUUUGACUUAUGAUAUUUUCAACUUACAAUUGAUGGGUUUACUGAGACAUAACCCUCUUGUAACUUGAGGAGCAUGUGUAUAUUUGUACAUACAUGAUGGUGUGUGUUUAUACACAAAGGCCUGAAUAUACACACCAUGAGCAUUUGAAGGUCUUUGUCAAGGUUGUUUCUGUUUCUGAUCUCUUGCCUACUUUAAAACCCAAGAGGUAGAACAUUAUGCAUAUUACAGGCAAAACUAUGCUUGAGUUUAUAGCAAUGUAGUUUGUAGAAAGGAUUCCUGGAUGUUUUACUAAGCCUUUCCUCCUCCAUUCAACAUUAUAUGAAUUGUUAAGAACAUAUAAAGUACCACUGUUGAAUGUGACUUUUCUAUACUGUUAGUUAAGAAACCAAGACUAGUGUUAGCUGAGUAACUGGCAUGUUGAUGCAACCUAUACAGGUUUUGUAUUUAAUUAGGUUCCUUAUUCAGUUAUUCAAGUAUCCAGUUAUUUAGUUUCAAGGUAGAUUUCUUUGUUUUUAUAUUUAAUAAAAGACUUGCAUAUAAGUUCCUCUUCAUGAAAAUAGUGGCUAGGCUAGUGUGAUUUUAAGUAUGUCUGGCAACUCAAAAUGUAAUGGAUUCAUCAAGCUAUUUGGGAUUUUUAACAUAAAACACACUGCUGCUUGAUUAAUGUGUUCAGUUUUCCCCUGGAUAUUUGCUAUUAGGCUGAUAGCCAUUUGGUUGGAUUCUUCUGGAGAGUAAUUGAUUCUCUAAGGUAAUGGGGUGCUGCAGUGGGUGUAGCAUUCACCCAGGUCACUAGAAUCCUACCUGUUUCAUCACAUAGAAGGCCCUGGCCAUGGGGAAGAGUGAAUGCAGCUUCUCCGGAUGCCUUAUUUCCACAGACAUGCUGAUAUGCUGGAACAAUCUGGCUCCAGGAGUAUUAAUAUACUUUUUUGAGACUGUCUACAAAAUACUAUUUUGUAAAAACUAUGCCUUUACAUAGACAUUGAUAGGUUAUAUUUGUUUUAUAACAAUUGUGUACCUAAUGUUUGUGAUUAAUUUUGAGAUUUAUGUAUAUUUAUAAGCCUAUCUUAUGUAAAUUUUUACUCUAAGAUGUGUGGCACAUUACUAAUAAAGACGUGGAUUUCUAUUUAUGUAAAGUAAUUGUAGCAAUAUUCCUAGAUGCUACCUAAAUGAUUGUUCUGUCCAUUUGCCAUCACAAAUACUUUUAUCUUUGGAUGAUUAUGUUAGUCAGAAUAUAUUAAUUAGAUUUAAACUUUAAAAUAAGAAUUACAACAUAGUUUGAAAUUCUUCCUGUUGAUGUAAUUAAAGUUAGUUUAUAAUUCCU
rnacentral:lncRNA from 10 species